AUGCUCAUUUUGGCAGCACAUAGACCAAAGUAGUAAUGAUACAGAGAAAACUAGCAUGGCCCCUGCACAAGGCUGACAGAAUUAUCUAGCAUGGCAUCAUUUCUAGAUUUAU
rnacentral:snRNA from 1 species